rnacentral:rRNA from 1 species
GACGAACGCUGGCGGCGUGCCUAAUACAUGCAAGUAGAACGCUGAAGGAGGAGCUUGCUCUUCUGGAUGAGUUGCGAACGGGUGAGUAACGCGUAGGUAACCUGCCUGGUAGCGGGGGAUAACUAUUGGAAACGAUAGCUAAUACCGCAUAACAGUAGAUGUUGCAUGACAUUUGCUUAAAAGGUGCAAUUGCACCACUACCAGAUGGACCUGCGUUGUAUUAGCUAGUUGGUGGGGUAACGGCUCACCAAGGCGACGAUACAUAGCCGACCUGAGAGGGUGAUCGGCCACACUGGGACUGAGACACGGCCCAGACUCCUACGGGAGGCAGCAGUAGGGAAUCUUAGGCAAUGGACGGAAGUCUGACCGAGCAACGCCGCGUGAGUGAAGAAGGUUUUCGGAUCGUAAAGCUCUGUUGUAAGAGAAGAACGAGUGUGAGAGUGGAAAGUUCACACUGUGACGGUAUCUUACCAGAAAGGGACGGCUAAUUACGUG